GAUGAACGCUAGCUACCGGCUUAACACAUGCAAGUCGAGGGGCAGCAUGAAAGGAACUUCGGUUCUUUUUGAUGGCGACCGGCGCACGGGUGCGUAACGCGUAUCGAACCUGCCUCAUACUCGAGGAUAGCCUUGCGAAAGUAAGAUUAAUACCCGGCGGUCUCGGAUGGCCGCAUGACUAUCCGAGUGAAGAUUUAUCGGUAUGAGAUGGCGAUGCGUCCCAUUAGCUAGUUGGUGAGGUAAUGGCUCACCAAGGCAUCGAUGGGUAGGGGUUCUGAGAGGAAGGUCCCCCACAUUGGAACUGAGACACGGUCCAAACUCCUACGGGAGGCAGCAGUGAGGAAUAUUGGUCAAUGGACGAAAGUCUGAACCAGCCAAGUAGCGUGCAGGAUGACGGCCCUCUGGGUUGUAAACUGCUUUUAGUUGGGAAUAAAAAGAGGGACGUGUCCCUUAUUGUAUGUACCAUCAGAAAAAGGACCGGCUAAUUCCGUGCCAGCAGCCGCGGUAAUACGGAAGGUCCAGGCGUUAUCCGGAUUUAUUGGGUUUAAAGGGAGCGCAGGCGGCGGCGUAAGUCAGUUGUGAAAUCGUGCGGCUUAACCGUGCAAUUGCAGUUGAUACUGCGUCGCUUGAGUGCACACAGGGAUGUUGGAAUUCAUGGUGUAGCGGUGAAAUGCUUAGAUAUCAUGAAGAACUCCGAUCGCGAAGGCAUAUGUCCGGAGUGCAACUGACGCUGAGGCUCGAAAGUGUGGGUAUCANACAGG
rnacentral:rRNA from 1 species